CCUACGGGAGGCAGCAGUAGGGAAUCUUCCACAAUGGGCGCAAGCCUGAUGGAGCAACACCGCGUGAGUGAAGAAGGGUUUCGGCUCGUAAAGCUCUGUUGUUGGAGAAGAACGUGCGUGAGAGUAACUGUUCACGCAGUGACGGUAUCCAACCAGAAAGUCACGGCUAACUACGUGCCAGCAGCCGCGGUAAUACGUAGGUGGCAAGCGUUAUCCGGAUUUAUUGGGCGUAAGGCGAGCGCAGGCGGUUGCUUAGGUCUGAUGUGAAAGCCUUCGGCUUAACCGAAGAAGUGCAUCGGAAAACGAGCAACUUGAGUGCAGAAGAGGACAGUGGAACUCCAUGUGUAGCGGUUGAAUGCGUAGAUAUAUGGAAGAACACCAGUGGCGAAGGCGGCUGUCUGGUCUGCAACUGACGCUGAGGCUCGAAAGCAUGGGUAGCGAACAGGAUUAGAUACCCCUGUAGUC
rnacentral:rRNA from 1 species